rnacentral:rRNA from 4 species
UUAAAUUGAAGAGUUUGAUCAUGGCUCAGAUUGAACGCUGGCGGCAGGCCUAACACAUGCAAGUCGAACGGUAACAGGAAGCAGCUUGCUGCUUCGCUGACGAGUGGCGGACGGGUGAGUAAUGUCUGGGAAACUGCCUGAUG